UUUGACCGUUUCUGAGAGAGCUUCUAUCUCAAUGCUGAGAGCUGUCAGCAUUUGCUCCAUAGCACAGCUCUUCUGCUUCUCUUCCUCCAUCAGUUCAGUCAACCUCGCCUCUUCUUCGUCAGCUAGAAACUGCUCCAGUUUGUCCUUCAGAGGCAUCAGCAGAGUCAACAGUUUCUCCCUGUGAUCCUGUGCAGCUUCGUUUAUAGGAUGGAAACUGUGCCUGAAAUGUUGUUUGGAAUCCCUGCAGACGACACACACAGGCUGCUGGUGGUCCAGGCAGAACAGCUUGAAUGUCUCAUUGUGAAGAGUGCACAGAGUGGCGGAGGUUGUCUGAUCACUCUCUGGAAGCCUUCCUGCAAGCUGGAUGUUUGGCCUUCUCCCCAUGGAAGGAUUGAUUGAGUCUCACACUGAGCAGGGGAUUAACCUCCACAAGUUCAGUUCAAGUCCUCCUGGAUUCCCAAGUGACACUCCGCUCAAUAGCUCCUCAGGGUCAAACCAAGUCUAUACCUGUCCGCCUUCCAACGAGUCUCAACCUCUGGAAAAACUCACUCCGACUGGAUUCUGGGAAGAAAGUUUUCUCCACUAACGUGAGUCCCGUUUUCUCUGUCUCUACAAGUCGUCGUUCAAAGUUCCCACGGAUCCUGAACUAACCACUGAUACUUCCCUCUUCCAGUUCCAGUUCAGCAGUUCACUGUGUUUCCUGAAUCCUACCCCGCU